ACUAAUUAGUACAUUAUUUUUAAGCCUGUCGUCGCCUAGCCCAGUUAAGACUGAGAUUAUUCAGUCGCUUAGGUAUACAUAAUAGCACCUUUUUUCAUAGAAUGCCUGAGACGUAAGUUGCCCAGGAACUGGAUUGAGCAGAUUAGACUGGCAGUCGCUCCUUGUAAAACACUGGAACCCAGCUGCUUGCGGUUACACUGGUUCCAUCCCAUCAUAGCUGUGAAAAGGCUAGGCAGAUGAUGAUGGCCAGACGAGGUAGACCCCGGAAGAGUUGGCGGGUGGAGCGGAACGCCCACUUCCUAGAGGUCAAACCGAGAUAGUGGCAUCAUUGGCAGAUCGGAAAAUGAGGAAAAAGUCCAGCAGUGUGAUGGGAUAGAACUAGGCCGGACACGUCAGCUGCACAUCCUGAGAUAUGGUAUUCACCCCGAAGACGAGGUAGACUCCGGAAGAGGUGGCGGGUGGACCGGAACGCCCACUUCCUAGAGGUCAAACCGAGAUAGUGGCAUCAUUGGCAGAUCGGAAAAUGUGGAAAACAAAUGGGGCAGCUUUUGUCCGGCAGUGGACAGGUUAGGCAAAAAUAUAUUCUGGUAAAUAUCUAUAGAAUA